CAGUAGCCGCGGUAAUACGAAGGGUGCAAGCGUUAAUCGGAAUUACUGGGCGUAAAGCGUGCGUAGGCGGUGAGUUAAGUCUGCUGUGAAAUCCCCGGGCUCAACCUGGGAAUGGCAGUGGAUACUGGCUCGCUAGAGUGUGUCAGAGGAUGGUGGAAUUCCACGUGUAGCAGUGAAAUGCGUAGAGAUGUGGAGGAACACCGAUGGCGAAGGCAGCCCCCUGGGCCAAUACUGACGCUCAUGCACGAAAGCGUGGGGAGCAAACAGGAUUAGAGACCCCGGUAGUCCCUGUCUCUUAUAC
rnacentral:rRNA from 1 species